GGGCGCGUAGCUCAGCGGGAGAGCACUCGCCUCACACGCGAGGGGUCGCUGGUUCAAUCCCAGCCGCGCCCACCA
rnacentral:tRNA from 4 species